CAGUCACAACAUAGAAAUCGCUACGUUUAAUUACUGACUGCUAUAGUUUUAUCUCCUGCUGGCCUGCUCACUUGCUCUGCCUAAUGUGGUGUAUUUGGGCAUCCCUGCUGUCUGACCCUGCUCUAGAUUUUGUUUUAUGCUCUCAUUGUUGUGUGGUCUCAUGUUGAAGUGGUCCCUCUUCUCCUUCCAGUUUGGCUAUUUUUCAUUCGCUGGCUUCUCUGUGUCCUGGUGGCUUUUUGGGCUUACAUUUUAAAGCACUUAGGCUCAUGCAGUUGUGCCUGCAAAAUGUUUUUGCCACUGUACCCUCAACAUAUUUAAAAAGUAGUCCAGUUGUUUUUCUUUGCGGCUUUUGUUGCCCUGGAUCAGGCUGCAUGUUUUGUCACUGUGGCUGUUCCCUUUGGAGUGUUCAGUUUAUGUCCCAGCUGAUUUCCCGUCAUUUGUUAUCUUCAGAUUGAAGUCUCCAUUUGUUCACAUUCCAGACUCAAAUGAACUGCUGCAGUCUGCUGAUUUGCCUCCUGGAUCAUUAUGCCACAAGCCAAUAGAUCACACAGGAUAAUGAAGCUUUCUCCAGGAGAGAUUCACUAUGAACAAGAGAAAUGAAAGGUGCCAUGCAUCCUGGAGAAUAGUAAUGGUUGGCAGCUCUGAAACGCAGUUGGCUGACGGGAGGAAUAGCAUCUGUGUGGGAAGAACUUCCUCCUUGUCACAUGGAGAUUGAGGAAGAAGACCACAUCUGUCCCUUGCCUAUGUCACUCCCUAGGGCCCCCAACAGCAGCAAAGACACCAACCUUCAUGGCCAGGAGUGGAAGGGAAUCCUCUGAAGAGCCUGUAAUUACUUGGUUCCAAGAGUCAUUGUUGAUUAAUGGAAAGUUUACCCUUCCUUUCCAAGAGUGGAGUCUGUUGUCUCCCAGAAUCCAUAGUUCCUGCCAAUUCAAACUGAGAACCCUGAGGAGAUUAAGGGUCGAUACUCAGCCCAAGUAACCUGCAUAGGACCUGGCUUGAUGUUUUGGGGACAUGGAGAGAAAACAGAAAUAGUACCCAGGGUCCUGUCGCCCCAUGCAUCCUCCACAAGGGGAAGGGGAAAGAAGAGGAAGGAUCUUUUCAUUAACAGUUUCUCUGUCUCCAUUCCUUGUCUAUCCACUCCUCUGCAAGUAAGUAGUUCCUCUGCAACCAGCUAGCAGAAGCCAUUUUUGUGUGGCAGAACAGUUUUGGCUAUGCUGCCAAAAGUCCCACUGCUGCCACAGUGACAAGAUUGCUCCUCUGUAUGUGUUACACUUGCCUAACCUCAACCAUUUAAGAUUCAGGCUUUGGCCAGUGUGCACAAGCCCUCACAUCUGUCUCCCCAGAGUCCCAGAACUUUAGUGGUGCUGGACCUGCAAGUGAUGGCAUGUCCACAGGUGCUAUAGAUGUUAGUGACAUUAGAAUAGACUGGAGGUAGCUAUAGAAACUUGAUUCUCUCU
rnacentral:lncRNA from 1 species